rnacentral:rRNA from 1 species
AGAAUCAACGCUGGCGGCGUGCCUAACACAUGCAAGUCGAACGAGAAAGUGGUAGCAAUACCAUGAGUAAAGUGGCGCACGGGUGAGUAACACGUGACUAACCUACCCUUGAGUGGGGGAUAACGUGAAGGGAACCUUAGACUAAGUACCGCAUAAUACCCACGGGUCAAAGGAGCAAUUCGCUCGAGGAGGGGUCGCGGCCGAUUAGUUAGUUGGCAGGGUAAUGGCCUACCAAGACGAUGAUCGGUA